UACAGUUGAGGCACCGAACCAUACUGUGGUGGUGCCAGAUGGUAUUAUGGAGGAGCAAAAUCAUACCGAGAUGGCUCAGGAUCCUCCUACUGCAGGGGUGGCUCAACCUAUAGUAGCGGGAGAGGUUCAGGUAGCUCCCUCCUUUCCUCCCGGGCCUUCUGGGCAGCAAUGAGCCUCUCCAACAUUUCAAAUAAUUGGUCAACAUCCUCUCGAAACGAACCCUCCCGAACUGCUCGGUUUAGUGGGGGUCUUCCUCUCUUCAUCUAUCUGUACCUGCAUU
rnacentral:lncRNA from 1 species